AUAAAAUAAAAAGCAACCAUCAUAUUGUAUUCAUAUAAAUUCCAUCUUAACACACAAAGUGGGAAAGACUACAGACUGAAGUAUGGAGAGCUAACAAGGUCUUUAUUUAGAACCAUAACAACAUCCAGCAAACCAAAAAGAAAACAAAAUUGCAUAGUAAGAAAAUAAAAUAAAUUCCAAACUUUCAUGAACCUGUCAGCCUCCAUUGAACUUCCUUUCGACAACCACUAGAUACAUUGAUAGUUAAAUGUAUAAA